rnacentral:snRNA from 1 species
AUACUUAACCAGCAGGGCAGAUGAUCCGGAAGGUAGUUUUCCCAGGGUGAGGCUUAUCUAUUGCAUUCAUUACCCCUGUGACUUCACCAAAUGUGGGAAAUUCAACUGCGUAAUUAGUCAUAGUGGGUGGGGCCCUGCAUUCACGUUUUCCCCUG